CCGGCACGGGUGAGUAACGCGUAUGCGACCUGCCCGUUGCAGGGGGGAUAAUCGGGAGAAAUCCCGUCUAAUACCGCGUAACGCCGCGGGGCUGCAUGGCCCUGCGGCCAAAGGGAGCGAUUCCGGCAACGGAUGGGCAUGCGUGACAUUAGCUAGUUGGCGGGGCAACGGCCCACCAAGGCGACGAUGUCUAGGGGUUCUGAGAGGAAGGUCCCCCACACUGGUACUGAGACACGGACCAGACUCCUACGGAAGGCAGCAG
rnacentral:rRNA from 1 species